GUGACCAGAUCACCCAGUUCGAUCUGCUGAAAGUCUCCUCGCUAGCAUUGUGCGCAUAUCCGGCCGCGAUCAGACACCGGCUGCGCGCCGCGUUCGGACAGGUGCGGCUCGCUGUAAGUUUGCCGGCAGGCUGCGGUGGAGCACUGCUGGGAGGAGCACUGCAAGGAGGAGCACUGCUGGGAGGAGCACUGCAAGGAGGAUCACUGCUGGGAGGGGCACUGCUGGGACGAGCACUGCAAGGAGGAGCACUGCUGGGAGGAGCACUGCAAGGAGGAGCGCUGCUGGGAGGAGCACUGCAAGGAGGAGCACUGCUUCGGCUUUCUGACAAAUUUGGUUCAUGUGAUAUUGUGCAAGAUGGGCAAUUACCUAAUUAAAUAUUACAGUAGUACAGUGUUGUUGCGAUUGGUAAUAUUCAGUAUUGUUUGAUGAGGAAUGGAACAAAUUAUCCAGGCAAUUUUAAAUAUAGUGCUUAUUUUGUACAGAAAGCUAAAGCGCAGAAACCAUCUAUGAAAGCCUGUGAAAGGUUAUUCUAUUAUUUUAUAGACACUGGGUGAGUCUUCUUUUCCUGUCUACAUAUUUAAGAGCGGAUCCUGUAAAGAAAUGACCUUUGAAAGUUAUAAAAUACCUGAAGGAAAUGUAUUGGUGGCUCCCCAGAGUUGUGUAUAUUUAUGCCAUUCUGUUGUGUUUACAAAAUAUUGGACAUGUAGGCGCUAAAUUUAGAAAGUAAAUAAACAUGAGGGUGGAACUUA